rnacentral:tRNA from 1 species
GCGGGCGUGGUGUAGUGGUAGCACAAUAGCCUUCCAAGCUGUUUGCGUGGGUUCAACUCCCAUCGCCCGCU